AUCUCCUUGUGAAUCUGUUCAAACCCAGCCAUAUACAACUGUAUUUCUGGCAAAGCCAGGUGCUCCUCAGUAACUGUGUCAAGCUAUGGGUGGUACCGAGAAGCUCUCAGCAGAAGCUGGCAAAGAAACUGAUUCCGUGUUAUUCUUGGACUUCCAUCUCACUGCUUGAAGUUGGAUUUUGCAAGGACACUCUAACAAAGCAACAGCUUAUCUCAAAGUCAUUUGUCGAAUCCACCAAAUGCAGAAACAUUUUGAAAUAAAUCAGGAUUCCCUUU